UAGCUUCAAAUAUUAAGCAAAUACAAGGACUUAUAUACAUGUAUGCGUCCCUGGCAAAUACAAGGGUCACCAAUAAGGAAAAAUAAAAAUUUUGCCUUAAAACCCAAAUUUUGGCGGGAAAAUGGUGAAAUUGGGUGAAAUGUCAAUUUGAGCCUUUAGCAGACCUGUACAGAAAUUGCUAACAAAACCACAUAGAAGCACAU
rnacentral:lncRNA from 1 species